AGAGAUACAUUAGGUGCCCUUCGGGGAGAGUCGAGACAGGUGGUGCAUGGUUGUCGUCAGCUCGUGUCGUGAGAUGUUGGGUUAAGUCCCGCAACGAGCGCAACCCUUAUUGUUAGUUGCUACGCAAGAGCACUCUAGCAAGACUGCCGUUGACAAAACGGAGGAAGGUGGGGAUGACGUCAAAUCAUCAUGCCCUUUAUGACCUGGGCUACACACGUACUACAAUGGCGGCGAACAGAGGGGAGCAAAGAGGUGACUCAGAGCAAAUCCCAAAAAGCCGUCUCAGUUCAGAUUGCAGGCUGCAACUCGCCUGCAUGAAGACGGAAUUGCUAGUAAUCGCGAAUCAGCAUGUCGCGGUGAAUACGUUCCCGGGCCUUGUACACACCGCCCGUCAAACCAUGAGAGUUGGGAAUACCCGAAGUCUGUAAUCUAACCGCAAGGAGGAUGCAGCCGAAGGUAGGCUCAAUGAUUGGGGUUAAGUCGUAACAAGGUAGCCGUAUCGGAAGGUGCGGUUGGAU
rnacentral:rRNA from 1 species